CGAUCACGUUCAGAGUUUGAUCCUGGCUCAGGAUGAACGCUGGCGGCGUGCCUAACACAUGCAAGUCGAGCGCGACUGAUUUGAUGCUUGCAUUAAUGAAAGUUGAGCGGCGGACGGGUGAGUAACGCGUGGGUAACCUGCCCUAUACACAUGGAUAACAUACUGAAAAGUUUACUAAUACAUGAUAACGUAGUUUUUCGGCAUCGAAGAAUUAUCAAAGCGUUAGCGGUAUAGGAUGGACCCGCGUCUGAUUAGCUAGUUGGUGAGAUAACUGCCCACCAAGGCGACGAUCAGUAGCCGACCUGAGAGGGUGAUCGGCCACAUUGGAACUGAGACACGGUCCAA
rnacentral:rRNA from 1 species